ACUCACAGUAGCCCACGCAGGCGUACACCAGAUGGGUCCCUUUGCAGGUGCCACGACGGUCGCUGCGGAUCGUCACGUUGAUGGCUGGAAGGAUGGAGGAACUGAACUCAACAGAUCAACUUACAGAGGCCAGAUUUUUUUUGCCAGAUGUGCAAAGUCAUUUGCCACUUUUUCCGUAUUGAAACUCACGGUAUAGGUGGCAUCCUGGGGUUUGUUUCUCUUUGCUCCACCCAAGAGGAGAGAAGAGCAGCAGCAGCAGUGACAUCAGGGCCAGCAGGCAGAUGUGUGAGAUGCUCUGCAACAUCUGGGCCGAUCAGACAAAACGCUUUUUCCAGGUUUGUGAAUCAGUGCCGUGGCGGCAGCAGAAAGACCCCCGCUGGGACUCAAUUAGGACCGUAGGAACGACCACAGUAACAGGUCAGCACUGAGGCUGAGUAUUUACGUUUUAAGGCUUUGUGUCCGCUGAUGGCGAAGGGGAAAACCCUGUUUUUUCCUCUUAUGUGGGGUUUCCACUCCAGGAGGUUUGUUCUGUCUCGCUUUGGGGGCAUCCGUUAGGGAGGCUCCAAUAAUAAAGUUACAAUCAAAACGUUUCCUCUGUCAUAACUAAUUAUCUGUAAAUGUUUUUGUCAAGACUUUAAAAAAUUCACACUGAACAGGGUGUCUGCAUGUUCCUAAAAAGUCUUCAAUGUAUCUAUAGUUAAGACCUCAAAAUGUCUUAAAUUAAAUUAAAGAUGUAAGUUGGCCUUAAAUACAUUAAUCACAGGCUGUGCUGCUUGAUCUUAUAUAAGUAUUUGUGUUUUUUUUUCCUCGCAGGACUUUACUGUCAGAAAAAAGUUUGAGUUGUGUGCAGACAUCUUGUUUUACAUCUAUAGUGAGUAACUGCACAUUUUUGGCCAGUUUUGAGGACAAAGUUAAUUUAUAUCGCUGCCUCAUGUCUGUUGCCAUCCCAUACAAGGCCAGCUCCAUUCUGUACCCCCAAAAACUUUAAGCUUUGGCACUAUCUGGAUUAGGAAUGCCAACUGUCCCCCAUAUUGGCACUAAAAAUGUCUUAGAAAGUCUUAAAUUUGACUUUGUGAAACCUGCAGAAACACUGCUG